rnacentral:rRNA from 1 species
UACGGAGGGUGCAAGCGUUGCUCGGAAUUAUUGGGCGUAAAGGGUAGGUAGGCGGAUUGUUAAGUCAGGGGUGAAAUCCUGGAGCUCAACUCCAGAACUGCCUUUGAUACUGGCAAUCUCGAGUCCGGAAGAGGUAAGUGGAACUCCUAGUGUAGAGGUGGAAUUCGUAGAUAUUAGGAAGAACACCAGUGGCGAAGGCGGCUUACUGGUCCGGAACUGACGCUGAGGUGCGAAAGCGUGGGGAGCAAACAGG